rnacentral:lncRNA from 1 species
GCCGCCACAGCUGGUCAUGAGCCCAUAUCCCACUACCGGCCGGCAUACUAGACCAUCCGUAUUUCCUGGGCCCCCACGCGCAGAACCCGAUGCGGAAGAAAGACGACAGGCGGUGCCAGUCCGCGCUGCACCAUGUGCUUCCUUUUUCUCUUCCUUCCCAACAGCUUUUCACCAACCUGCAUCUUUUUUCCACAGUGAAUUUUUUUUAAAAAAAAUACGGUAGUGUUCUAUUUUUUUUUCUUUUACCCA